ACUGCGGCACUGAGCUGGCUGGACAGCGCGCGUCGCCAGCGGUCCUGCCGGCCAAGCUGCCGCCUCCCUCGUCCUCGCCUAGGCGCAGGGAACCGCUUCGCGCCGCCGCCGGGCUGUCCCUCCUCUCUGUGAGUAUCCCGCGGGCGCGCUGUGGCGGAGGCUCUGGCCUGCCCGGUCCCCGGGGGCGGCGAGGGGGCACCCGGAGACUGUGGGAUGCUCGCGAGCAGGCUACCGGAGACCGGAGGAUGCCUGCGAGCGGCCUCUCCUUUCCCGCUGCCCAGUCCGGUGCUCUGAAAGAUGGACGCAGCCUUCGCCUUCCCACCCCCGACCCCCGGUUCAGGCUUAAAUGCCCCCCAACCAUGCUAUUGCGUACUUAGUGUCCUUGUAAAUGACCAUCGGGUGCGCAAUGACAAGCUCUCUUAAUAACAUCUAAGUAGAUAGAGUGAUGGAUCUAUUGUAAGUGUCAUCUCAGUGCGUAAAGCCCCCCGUCCCCCAAACGGAGGCUAUCCGGGAAUCUAACAAAUGGUUGCUCUGCCUUUAUUAGAACUGCGAAAAUGUCCGUAGAAGCGGUCCCUCCAUGAUUUUGUUUUGUUUCGUUAAAGCAAACAUCUUUUGGAUGCUAACAGGUAUUUCACCUGUUGCGUAAAUAAUUGCGUGAGCACCCGGGAGAAGAUUGUGAUGAGGAAGAUAAGGGAAUUUUUAAAAGAAUAUUUGAAGCAAAUUCAAAUGCAAAAAGAAUUUUUAGCAAUAUUUACAAUAUUAUUUGUUUAUGGGGGCUAUCACAGAUUUAUUGGUCAAAUUACACAAUCAUAAUUUUUGUUUUCUUCUUUUGCUAUGAAAUUUUGCUACCGAGCCAUCGUCCAAGGUUUUUUUUAUUAUUAUUAUUCUUUUUUUGCGUUGAUGUAUAAGCACAUACUCCAUGUUUUUCAGAAGCGAGGGAGGAAACGUAAUCUAGUUAUUUUUUCUGCGUAGUCUCUUUUAGAAGGUUCUAUAAAGAGCCACCCAUCUUUGGAUGGGAAAGACUUAAAAUAGUGAUAGAAUGAUAUCUAAUAUCGUGUAUGCUAGUUUUAAAAAAAAUUGUUUUAUAAAAUGACAUCUACAAAAUUCGGAAUGUUUUAUUAAAUAUAAUCUAAAUAUAAGUCUAUAUUAUAAAAUAUUAAUCAAACGUAAGUUACUAAUUAUCUGUGCUUUCUGUAGUAUACAUUAAUAUUAAAAUGAUUAUUUCUGUAAUUGUGAUGUUAUUAAAUGCUACUGUUUAUUCAGUUAUGCCUCGAAAUAUCAAAUAUGAGAAAAUUUAAAUAUACAUUUAAUCUUUUAUUUCUUAAUUAUAUUCUUAAUUAUAUAUUUGUUAAAUGGACAUAAAGUAAUUUUACUG
rnacentral:lncRNA from 1 species